CUGGGUGAGCUCCUCAAACCUGCCAAACACGUGGUGAGGGGACUAGGUAUGGGACAAUGUGGUGGCCCGAGUGCCUGCCUCUCUGGGCCAGAUCACCCGUCCAGGCGGGAGGGUGAAGGCAAAGACUCCCAGCAGAGGCAGGAGGAAAAGGGACUGGGGGCUGGACGUGUCUUCCCAAGGAAACAGAGAACCCGGGAGAGAUAACAAGGACUACAAGGUUUGGGGUUGAUGAAGACAAAAUCUGCCAUCAGUGGCUUUGCUCCCAGCUGUCCAUCUGUCUCCCCCUCCCUCUUAACAGAGUAUCCAUGAACCUGUCAGAACUCCUGGGAGAGGCCUCGAGACCCAGUAUCCUGGGUCAGGAAGAGCUGCUGUGCCUGGGGGUUCAUUGAUCAUUCAGGACUGUGGACAGCUGCACACAGCUGUCUUAAUGGGCAGGAAGGAGCUGCUGGCAUGGGUGUUUCCAUGGUGUUCUCAGAGCCCUGAAGAGAUCUGUUCCCGUUCUGAUUUUGUACCAACCCAUCAGACAAGACCAGUGUGGCUCAAGCUUCUCAUACCCAAAAUGAGAUGGGAUAGAGAAGAGAGUGGAAUGCGUACAACAAGGACAUUAUUUCUUGACUUGCAGGUUUUAAUUAUAUAUAUAGGUGUAUUGUGUAUUACAGCCAAGAUGGUUUCAGGACAUUGGUUUUGGGUGCUGGUCUCCCCCAGAGGCAAAAUGCAAGAGCCUGGGCUCUCACACCAGUGUCCUGGAUUGGAACCUUCCACCACAGUUUAUAGAUGUGGCAACUUGGACAACUGACUUAACCUCUCUGAGCCCCUGUUUUACU